rnacentral:rRNA from 1 species
GACGUAGGGGGGCAAGCGUUGUUCGGAAUUAUUGGGCGUAAAGCGCUCGUAGGCGGGACAGGAAGUUCGUGUUGAAAGACCUCGGCUCAACUGAGGGACCGGCUCGAAUACUCUUGUUCUUGAGGCAAUCAGAGGGUGAUGGAAUUCCCGGUGUAGCGGUGAAAAUGCGUAGAUAUCGGGAGGAACACCAGUGGCGAAGGCGAUCACCUGGGGUUGUUCUGACGCUGAGGAGCGAAAAGCUAGGGGGAGCAAAACGGGG